GGCUUCAGCCAUGCUAUCCUGAAUGUACCAGAUCUCAUUUGACCUCAGAAGCUGAGCAGGACUGGGGCUGGUUAGUACUCUCAUAGGAGAGACGAGCUGGAGGCA
rnacentral:rRNA from 1 species